AUUGAACGCUGGCGGCAGGCCUAACACAUGCAAGUCGAGCGAGCGGCGGACGGGUGAGUAAUGUCUGGGAAAAUGCCUGAUGGAGGUGGCUAACUAACGGAGACGGCAGCUAAUACCGCAUACCAUCAGAUGUGCCCAGAUGGGAUUAGCUGGUAGGUGGGGGAACGGCUCACCUAGGCAACGCUCCCUAGCUGGUCUGAGAGGAAGACCAGCCACACUGAAACUGGGCCACGGUCCAGACUCCUACGGGGGGCAGCCGUGGGGAAUAUUGCGCAAUGGGCGCAAGCCUGAUGCAGCCAUGCCGCGUGUGUGAAGAAGGCCUUCGGGUUGUAAAGCACUUUCAGCGGGGAGGCGUUACCCGCAGAAGAAGCACCGGCUAACUCCGUGCCAGCCGCCGCGGUAAUAC
rnacentral:rRNA from 1 species